rnacentral:rRNA from 1 species
UUUCCUCGAGUCGUUGAUUUCACACUGCCAAGAAAAGCCUCUAGAUAGAUAACAGGUGCCCGUACCGCAAACCGACACAGGUAGUCAAGAUGAGAAUUCUAAGGUGAGCGAGCGAACUCUCGUUAAGGAACUCGGCAAAAUGACCCCGUAACUUCGGGAGAAGGGGUGCUCUUUAGGGUUAACGCCCAGAAGAGCCGCAGUGAAUAGGCCCAAGCGACUGUUUAUCAAAAACACAGGUCUCUGCUAAACCGUAAGGUGAUGUAUAGGGGCUGACGCCUGCCCGGUGCUGGAAGGUUAAGAGGAGUAGUUAGCUUCUGCGAAGCUACGAAUCGAAGCCCCAGUAAACGGCGGCCGUAACUAUAACGGUCCUAAGGUAGCGAAAUUCCUUGUCGGGUAAGUUCCGACCCGCACGAAAGGCGUAACGAUUUGGGCACUGUCUCAACGAGAGACUCGGUGAAAUCAUAGUACCUGUGAAGAUGCAGGUUACCCGCGACAGGACGGAAAGACCCCGUGGAGCUUUACUGUAGCCUGAUAUUGAAAUUCGGCACAGCUUGUACAGGAUAGGUAGGAGCCUUUGAAACGUGAGCGCUAGCUUACGUGGAGGCAUUGGUGGGAUACUACCCUAGCUGUGUUGGCUUUCUAACCCGCACCACUUAUCGUGGUGGGAGACAGUGUCAGGUGGGCAGUUUGACUGGGGCGGUCGCCUCCUAAAAGGUAACGGAGGCGCUCAAAGGUUCCCUCAGAAUGGUUGGAAAUCAUUCAUAGAGUGUAAAGGCAUAAGGGAGCUUGACUGCGAGACUUACAAGUCGAGCAGGGUCGAAAGACGGACUUAGUGAUCCGGUGGUUCCGCAUGGAAGGGCCAUCGCUCAACGGAUAAAAGCUACCCCGGGGAUAACAGGCUUAUCUCCCCCAAGAGUUCACAUCGACGGGGAGGUUUGGCACCUCGAUGUCGGCUCAUCGCAUCCUGGGGCUGUAGUCGGUCCCAAGGGUUGGGCUGUUCGCCCAUUAAAGCGGUACGCGAGCUGGGUUCAGAACGUCGUGAGACAGUUCGGUCCCUAUCCGUCGUGGGCGUAGGAAAUUUGAGAGGAGCUGUCCUUAGUACGAGAGGACCGGGAUGGACAUACCUCUGGUGUACCAGUUGUCGUGCCAACGGCAUAGCUGGGUAGCUAUGUAUGGACGGGAUAAGUGCUGAAAGCAUCUAAGCAUGAAGCCCCCCUCAAGAUGAGAUUUCCCAACUUCGGUUAUAAGAUCCCUCAAAGAUGAUGAGGUUAAUAGGUUCGAGGUGGAAGCGUGGUGACACGUGGAGCUGACGAAUACUAAUCGAUCGAAGACUUAAUCAAAAUU